AUUGAACGCUGGCGGCAGGCCUAACACAUGCAAGUCGAACGAGUGGCAGACGGGGGAGGAAUGUCUGGGAAACUGCCUGCUGGAGGGGGAUAAAUACUGGAAACGGUAGCUAAUACCGAACACAAUCGGAUGUGCCCAGAUGGGAUUAGCUGGUAGGUGGGGUAAAGGCUCACCAAGGCGACGAUCCCUAGCUGGUCUGAGAGGAUGACUGGCAAACCUGGAAGUGAGCGACGGCCCAGCCUCCUACGUGAGGUGGAUGUGGGGAAGAUUGCACAAGGGGCGCAAGCCAGCUGGACCCAUACGGCGGUGAGGAAGUAGGCCUUCGGGCCGUAAAGUACUUUCAGCGGGACGGCGUUACCCGGAUGAGAAGCGCCGGCUAACUCCGUGCCAGCAGCCGCGGUAAUUC
rnacentral:rRNA from 1 species